rnacentral:rRNA from 1 species
GGAGGAAAAGAAACCAACAGGGAUUGCCUCAGUAACGGCGAGUGAAGCGGCAAAAGCUCAAAUUUUAAAGCUGGCACCUCCGGUGUCCGCGUUGUAAUUUUGUGAGGCAUCUCCGGGUAGGGCGCCGGCCUAAGUUCCUUGGAACAGGACGUCAUAGAGGGUGAGAAUCCCGUGCUUGGCUGGCUGUCCCCGUCCAUGUGAGGUGUCUUCGACGAGUCGAGUUGUUUGGGAAUGCAGCUCAAAAUGGGUGGUAAAUUUCAUCUAAAGCUAAAUAUUGGUGGGAGACCGAUAGCGCACAAGUAGAGUGAUCGAAAGAUGAAAAGCACUUUGAAAAUAGAGUUAAAAAGUACGUGAAAUUGUUGAAAGGGAAGCGCUUGAGACCAGACUUCGGUGGGGAGUGAUCAGCUGUCCUUCUGGGCGGUGCACUUGCUCCCCUCCGGGCCAGCAUCGGUUGGGACGGCGGGAUAAAGGUCCUGGGAAUGUGGCUCCUUUCGGGGAGUGUUAUAGCCCGGGAUGAAAUGCCGCCAGCUCCGACCGAGGACCGCGCCUUCGGGCUAGGAUGCUUGGCAUAAUGGUCUUCAGCGACCCGUCU